GGCGGGCGUCCUGCAAGGAGGAGCGCACCCAGAAAACAGUACCAUCUUUCAUUACUUAUCCCCAGCGUUGAUCUCUUUCUCUCCUGGUUCCUCAUUGGCUGAGUGCUUCAGGUCCAGCAAAUGAGAUGAAGAAAUCAGCAGCUGGCAGUUGGUGUUCCUGCUUCAGCCUGAGAAAUCCAUCUUCUGUGGCUGAAUGCAAACUGCAGUGCAAUCCCAGGAGCCCUCAGAAAUAGCCCUGGCAGGUGAAUCUAAGCAGUUUUGACCCAGAAGACCCAGGCCAAGUAGUGGUGCACUGCGUGCUUCCUUCUCAUCUUUUCCCCCUGACUACUCGCCUGUGGUCUGUGUGCUGUGUGCAAUUGCCAAUUUAUUCCCAAUGCUUGCUGACCUGUUGGACAAUCUCUGCAAUAAAAUGAAUUCCCUGGUUGAAGGGUAUUGUUGCAGGACACUCAAACCUUGGAAUAAUCUCCUGCAAAAGUACCUUGGUUACUUCCUUUGCUCUAUUGGUCCUGCAAGGGAAUGCUUCUGGUCACCCUGAGAGGGUACUGGUUAGAACUAGCAUAUAUCAAAACCCUCAUUUUUCCUGGCAGUUCAAAAAAAAAAUCAAUUUGCAAUUGUUGUCCUGGAAGGUUCCCUUUCCAACAAGCCCCACUUGUACCCUGUUCCUGGUACUAGGAUUGUACAGUUACUUUCUGGUGUCUGUACCCCCCAUGUUUUAUUAUGUUCCCUUAGAACCAAAUUCUAUACAAUACUAACGGGCACAGCAGUGUGUCCAUCUGGGUAUGCACCCAUCUGUCAGCUUGCCCUCUUCCCUUCAUUAAUUAGAUUCCUAUCCUUUCUAGAGUACCUUAUAGGUUCUGACUAAGGUUCAGGUAUUUCAAGUUUACCGUCUGGAAUUAAAGCCGUUCACCAAUUUCUUUUCCUUCAGCUGCCUGUUUUGCCACCUGAUCCAUCAUCAUAUUUCCAGUUUCCUGUACACUGUCACUCUUCUGAUGUCCUUUACAAUGUAUAACAGCCAUGAUGUUCUUUGGUAGAUUUACAUCAUGCUGAAUUUGUUUUCCUUGUGUGUAAACAAUCCUUGCUCUUUCCAGAUGGUACCACAAGUGGGUACCACCCCAAAAGCAUAUUUAGCAUCCGUCCAUAUAUUUAAGGUUCUUGUCAAGGCAAUUAUUUCAGCCUUCUGAGUGGAAGUCCCCACAGGUAAUGGUUGUGCUUCAAUUACCCUGUCAGUAGCAGUUACUGCACGUCCUGCCUUACGGUUUCCUUGUCUUCACAAAACUGCUUCCAUUGAUGAAUCCAGGACUCCUCAGCAUCGUCCAACGGUUCCUCCUGUAGCUCUGACCAACUUGUACAGACAGCCUCCAUGCAGUCGCACACUGCUGGCUUGGAGGCAGCUCUGCGUUGGCAUUCUGGGUGUUCAGCAAGUUGCUUCCUUCUCUUUGAUCAGUUGUUCUUUCUGUUGAGCAACUUGAUAGCCAUUUAAAUCAAGAAAUUCAGCAAGCUCACAGUCUAUUGUACACAGUCCUUUGUUACUGUAGCAUCCACGUACUGCAGUAAAGUUCCACUGUGAGAUGGUGAACCCAAAUCUCAGGCUCACGAGUUGACCAGUUCUCAAAAAUCACUGGGCUGUUCUCACAACCCUGGGUAUCACUGUGCAGGUUAACUGAAUUAUUAUUAUUAUUACUUUUAAUUAUUAUCUUUUUCUUCUCUCCAUAUUUGAGUUUUCCUAUUCAAAGGCAAAUAAUUUUAGACUUUCUUUUGCAAAACCAGGCAGAAAAAGGUGUACUUCAAGUCCAGAACGGUGAACCCCACCUGCUUAUUCCUUAACUUGGUUAAUAAAGAUAUACACCAUGAGUUGUAUAUAUUCAACUUUUCUAUUAAUUGCCCUCAAAUCUUGUACCAAACUAUAGCUCUUGCCAUCCAAUUUUUCAUUUGCAAGAUUGGGUGUUGUAUUUGGAUUUCUAUCCAAUUAGUAAUCCAAAAUCCAAAAGGUUAUUUUUAUUUCUUUUAUCCUCCUACAAUCUUGUAUCCUCAAAGGGCAUUGCUUUACCCUGGUUGGGCUGGCUCCCAUCUUUAACUUAACUUUCAUUGGGCUGCACUUUUGGCUCUGCCAGGCAUCCCUGAUGCCUGCAAUCCUGUGUAUACACAAUGUAGGAUUUACGUAACUUCUGGGAGUACAACAUUGCUUUUCCCAGUUUGUGUUAAAGCCAGACUUAACAUUUUCAGUCCAUUGCUCUUGCUUGACAAGUAGUUCCAAUCGUCUCUACUGAAUUUAAUCUCUACAUUUAACUAUUCUAACAUGUCAUGCCCAAAUAAUCAUUUUGGAGAACCUGGCAUGUACAAGAAUUUAUAUAUUCCUACUUGUUCUCCUAGCCUGUAUUUAACUGGUCCAAAAAAAAAAGUAAACUUCUCUUGCCAGUAGCUGCUACAACUAUUACAAAAAUCAUCUACGGGUAACAGUAAGACGCACCCAAAGGUACCAGAAAAUAAACCUCUUCAACCUGCUUCCCCUGCUGCUUUCAGUCCUGGCAGGGUGGAACUCUCCCUGAGCCCUUCCAGGCUCCCCUUACCUCUUCUUCUAGGUAAGGACAUCCCUGACAACCUUGCUCAACUUUGCCUUCCUCAGUUUGUUUUUCCCAAACCCUUUUCACUUUCCAAAUUCUCAUCAUCACAGCCAUUACUAACAUUCUAUUUCAGUUUCACUCCCUUCUCUCCCCAGGCUUCCAGUGCUCACACUGGAUAUCGGGUUUCCUCAGCUCUGCAGAUGCCGGCUAUUCUCACUUCCAAUGUCCCGUCCCAUUCCCAUUCACAAGCACUGCACCCUUCA